rnacentral:rRNA from 1 species
UGGAGGCAGCAGUGGGGAAUUUUGCGCAAUGGGGGAAACCCUGACGCAGCAACGCCGCGUGAGUGAUGAAGGCCUUCGGGUCGUAAAGCUCUGUCAGAGGGGAAGAAAUGAUGUUCGGUUAAUACCCGGACUUCUUAACGGUACCCUCAAAGGAAGCACCGGCUAACUCCGUGCCAGCAGCCGCGGUAAUACGGAGGGUGCAAGCGUUGUUCGGAUUUAUUGGGCGUAAAGCGCGUGUAGGCGGUUUCUUAAGUCUGAUGUGAAAGCCCCGGGCUCAACCCGGGAAGUGCAUUGGAUACUGGGAGACUUGAAUACGGGAGAGGGUAGUGGAAUUCCUAGUGUAGGAGUGAAAUCCGUAGAUAUUAGGAGGAACACCGGUGGCGAAGGCGGCUACCUGGACCGAUAUUGACGCUGAGACGCGAAAGCGUGGGGAGCAAACAGGAUUAGAUACCCGUGUAGUCC